AUUUAUAAGCUUUUUAUAGUUUUUAAAUCACGAAGAAAAGUGAGCUAAAUAUGUAUAUAUAUUAGUAUUAAACAUACGUGGUAUAGUAUUGAUUAAUAUGUAUUUAGGGGUGAUAGGCUUUUCAACCUUUUGGAUAUCUUGCUAUACAAGAAAUAUAUUUAGUAUAAUAUAACAACAAACUAAGAAAGUUAAGCUUAUUAGUAAGAAUGAAAAUUAGUGAGUGUAGUAGAUAAAGUAUAAUAACUAAUUGUAUUUUAUGAAAAUAUAAAUUAUAAAUGAAUUAUUUGAAUUAUUGUAUUAAUAUUUAUUAUUUUAUUAUUAGAUAAUGUAAGUAUAAGUAGUUAAACUAUUUGUAUUAAAGGAACUCGGCAAUUAAUACCGCUCAACUGUUUAUCAAAAACAUAACUACAUGAUAUAAUAUGUAGCUGUUUCUGCUCCAUGGUUUUACUAAAUAGCCGCAGUACUCUGACUGUGCAAAGGUAGCAUAAUCAGUUGGCUCUUAAUUAGAGUCUGGAAUGAACGAAUAUAUGGGUGGUAACUGUCUUAAUACAUUGAUGUGAAGUUUGUCAGUAAGUGCAAAUACUUACCUAGUUAAAAAAGACGAGAAGACCCUAGAAGCUUGAAAAUAGUUUUGUUGGGGCGACAGAAUUGCACUUAACCAAUUUUAAUAUACAUGAAGCUUUGCUGUAAGAGUAAGCUACUCUAGGGAUAACAGCAUAAUUUUUACAGUUUGUGACCUCGAUGUUGGACUAGGUAUGUGAUUUUCUAGAAGAAAGUAGCAUUUGCUCUGUUCGAGCAUGGACACCUACAU
rnacentral:rRNA from 1 species